rnacentral:rRNA from 1 species
UACGUAGGGUGCGAGCGUUGUCCGGAAUUAUUGGGCGUAAAGAGCUUGUAGGCGGUCUGUCGCGUCUGCUGUGAAAAUCCGGGGCUCAACCCCGGACUUGCAGUGGGUACGGGCAGACUAGAGUGUGGUAGGGGAGACUGGAAUUCCUGGUGUAGCGGUGAAAUGCGCAGAUAUCAGGAGGAACACCGAUGGCGAAGGCAGGUCUCUGGGCCACUACUGAUGCUGAGAAGCGAAAGCAUGGGGAGCGAACAGG